rnacentral:rRNA from 1 species
AAUAUUGGACAAUGGGGGCAACCCUGAUCCAGCCAUGCCGCGUGUGUGAAGAAGGUCUUCGGAUUGUAAAGCACUCUCAGUUGGGAGGAAGGGCUGUAGGUUAAUACCCUGAAGUUUUGACGUUACCAACAGACUAAGCAACGGCUAACUCUGUGCCAGCAGCCGCGGUAAUACAGAGGGUGCAAGCGUUAAUCGGAAUUACUGGGCGUAAAGCGCGCGUAGGUGGUUCAGUAAGAUGGGUGUGAAAUCCCCGGGCUUAACCUGGGAACUGCUUUCAAAACUGGUGAGCUAGAGUACGGUAGAGGGUAGUGGAAUUUCCUGUGUAGCGGUGAAAUGCGUAGAUAUUGGAAGGAACACCAGUGGCGAAGGCGACUACCUGGACUGAUACUGACACUGAGGUGCGAAAGCGUGGGGAGCAAACA